AUUGAACGCUGGCGGCAUGCCUUACACAUGCAAGUCGAACGGCAGCACGGGAGCAAUCCUGGUGGCGAGUGGCGAACGGGUGAGUAAUAUAUCGGAACGUGCCCAGUCGUGGGGGAUAACGUAGCGAAAGCUACGCUAAUACCGCAUACGAUCUAUGGAUGAAAGCGGGGGAUCGCAAGACCUCGCGCGAUUGGAGCGGCCGAUAUCAGAUUAGCUAGUUGGUGAGGUAAAGGCUCACCAAGGCGACGAUCUGUAGCGGGUCUGAGAGGAUGAUCCGCCACACUGGAACUGAGACACGGUCCAGACUCCUACGGGAGGCAGCAGUGGGGAAUUUUGGACAAUGGGCGCAAGCCUGAUCCAGCCAUGCCGCGUGAGUGAAGAAGGCCUCGGUG
rnacentral:rRNA from 1 species